rnacentral:rRNA from 1 species
UGCCGGCGAGCGGCGGACGGGUGAGUAAUGUCUGGGAAACUGCCUGAUGGAGGGGGAUAACUACUGGAAACGGUAGCUAAUACCGCAUGACCUCGCAAGAGCAAAGUGGGGGACCUUCGGGCCUCACGCCAUCGGAUGUGCCCAGAUGGGAUUAGCUAGUAGGUGGGGUAAUGGCUCACCUAGGCGACGAUCCCUAGCUGGUCUGAGAGGAUGACCAGCCACACUGGAACUGAGACACGGUCCAGACUCCUACGGGAGGCAGCAGUGGGGAAUAUUGGACAAUGGGGGCAACCCUGAUCCAGCCAUGCCGCGUGUGUGAAGAAGGCCUUUUGGUUGUAAAGCACUUUAAGCGAGGAGGAGGGUACUCUGGUUAAUACCUAGAUGUAUCGGACGUUACUCGCAGAAUAAGCACCGGCUAACUCUGUGCCAGCAGCCGCGGUAAUACAGAGGGUGCGAGCGUUAAUCGGAAUUACUGGGCGUAAAGCGCGCGUAGGCGGUUAUGUAAGUUGGAUGUGAAAUCCCCGGGCUUAACCUGGGC